rnacentral:rRNA from 1 species
UACAGAGGGUGCAAGCGUUAAUCGGAAUUACUGGGCGUAAAGCGCACGUAGGCGGAUAUUUAAGUCGGAUGUGAAAUCCCCGGGCUCAACCUGGGAACUGCAUUCGAUACUGAUUAUCUAGAGUAUGGUAGAGGAAAGUGGAGUUCCCGGUGUAGCGGUGAAAUGCGUAGAUAUCGGGAGGAACACCAGUGGCGAAGGCGGCUUUCUGGACCAAUACUGACGCUGAGGUGCGAAAGCGUGGGAGCAAACA